AUGUGGUUAGCUCAGAUGUUAGAGCGUUCGUUUUACACACGAAAAAGCAUAGGUUAAAGUCCUAUAUCACAUA